GGCACAGUGUGUGUGUGUGUGUGUGUGUGUGUGUGUGUGUGUGUGUGUGUGUGUGUGUGUGUGUGUGUGUGUGUGUGUUGGAUGGCACUCAGAAUGAUUUUAUAUAUAUAUAAGGAAAGAACAAGUUAGGCAUUGUAAUAACACUAUUUUGAAAAAAUUUACUCUGCAUGAUUAGCAGUAGCUUCUGUUUUGGGGCCUGAAGUAACAAUCCCGGUGUGUACAUUAUCACCACAUUGUUACAGCUCACUAGGGGAUGGAAAGCUUUCUAAGUUUUAUAAAGACCUCAGACCAAGAAGCAAAUGUAGAUCACAUAGAUCUGCAGAUAUUAGUAAUGAGUUUUAAUGUAAAGAAAGGAAACUUUUAUGAAGUUAUUGUAUACAUGUAUAUAUUUAUAUAUGUAAUAAGCACUUCUGAAAAUGGAAAGUUUAUAUUCAGGAUAUUUUGUAACAAUCCUCUGACUGUUUGCUCUAUUGUUGGAUAUUUUAAUGUGACUUUAAUUGUUAAAUUAUAGUGGCAUGUGAGAAAGAACAUGUACUAUUGGAAGUAAUGUUUCAGCUUUAUUUCUUAAGUGUACCUAUAUCUUUAAAUCUUAAAAUAAUAUUUAUUAUUGCCCUUCAAACUUUGUGUCAAAUUUCAUGCCAAAUAAUAACAAUUACAGUUAAUUCCUAUUACCAAACUGCCAUUCAUUGUGUACAUUGCAAUUAUGCCUUUUUCUAAAGUUUUAUUAGUUUUUUUUUAAUGAGAAAAUAUAUUUUGACCUUUAUUAAGUUAUGAUGUUUUCCGUUUUAUCCUUUAGAAACUAAAUUAAGUUCAUAGGUUUAGGAAAGAUUUAUGCUGUCUUUUGCUGUGUUGAUGUUAAUGUAGUGUCAGUGCUUUAUUGCACUUGUAAGCUAUUAUGCAAUUUCUGCUUCUCGGUGUAACUCACUGCAUUUCAUGUGUUUUCAGUGUGUGUUAGAUCUAUUAGGUAUAUUUUACGUACCUUGAGUGUGUGUAUUGAGAUUUAUUUGAGUAUUUGCAUGUUUUUGGUGUUUUGGGGUUAAUUUUGAGUGUUUUAAGCUGUGUGGCUGUGUGAUAUGGGUGUUUUGAGGGUGAUUAUACAUUGGGUGUUUCUAUUGAGGCAUUUUGAGGUGUUGCAUGGCUUUUCGAGUCCAUUUUGGGUUAGUUUUGAGUGUUGUAAGUUUUUUUUAUGUAUUUAGGUGUGUGGGGGUGAUUCUAGUGAGUUUUGGAACAUUUUGAGGUUUUGCAUGGUGUUCUGAGUGUGUUUUGGGUUAGUUUUGAGUGUUUUAAGUGGUUUAUGUGUGUGUGGGGAUGAUUUUAAUAAUAAUAAUAAUACAGCUUGCCAGCGUCCCGUGAGGAAGUCAGCCAGCCAUGCCGUCAGGUGAGAGGGGAGAGCCAGCCUGAUAGCUUUGUUUAUGACAACAGUGUGGUCAACUAGAUCAAAAGCUUUUUUUGAAGUCUACAAAAGCAACUGCUAGAGAGGUGUUCUGUUUGUCCAGGUGAUUAUGAAUGAAGUCAAGGAAGCCGAGGUAGUUCUGAUAUUGCCAAAUUGCUGAAUGUCUAAGAAGGAACUGAUUUUGUUGUAUGUCCAGUCAAACACAAAGUCUUCACAGAUAAAGCUAGGGAUGGGUGUGAUAGCAACUGGUCUAAGAUCAUUUAAAGAUUGUGGGCUGGCAGUUUUAGGGAUGGGUGUGACAAAUGAUGUUUUCCAGUCGACAGGGCAUGAGUACUGUGAGAGAGAUGCAUUUAUUAUUGAGCAGAGAGGGGUGGCUAGUUCCGGAGCAAAUUAUUUGUAAAUCUUAAUGGGUAGGUCAGUAGGGGUGGUUGAGUUUCAGAAUUCUCUUGUAGACAUCCAUCACCUCUACAGCUGGAGGAGGAGAGGGAGCAGGGAGACUUGAGGGAUGAAGGGGUGGGAAUGUUUGACAGAUUGUGGCAAAGUGGCUAUUCAUCUCGUCUGCUGCUGCCUCAGCAGGGAGGUGUGAGGUACAAGGUAAAGGAGAGGACUGCUUUUGGUGCAUAAUAGAUGUUUCUAAUGAGUGUUGUGUGUUUUAUGGACAUUUUGAGGCGUUUUAUAGUGUGUUUUUUAGUGUUUUAAGUUGUUUGGGUGUGUGAAGUGUCUUAGGUGUGUGUAGGAGUGAUUUUGGUGUUUACUGGGUGUUUCUUGUGAGUUAUGGUUGUGUUUUAGAGCAUUUUUAGGUGUUACAUGGUGUUUUGAGUGUGCUUGGGGAUAAAAUUGAGUGUUUUAAUUGCUUUGGGUGUCUGUGGGGUGUAUUAAAAGUGUGUAGAAGGGCAUUUUUAGAUAGUUUGGCAUGUUUUGAGGGCAUUUUAAGACAGCUUGGCAUGUUUUGAGGGCAUUUUAAGACAGUUUGGUUAAAUUAAGGCCAUCUUAUUGACAUUAGAAAGAGUCUAUGGAGGUCAGAAGAUAGCCACAGUCUUCACUAUUUCAAUCCCCCACAUAGCUGUAUCAAUUAUCAAAUCAUUAAGAUUGAUACAGUUUAUAGAGACAAAAAUUAAAAUGUCAACAUUAGAAAAAGGAAAGAAAAAGAUAAAGUAAACCAAAAUUAGGCAAAAUAUAUAAAGUAAAAAAUGUAUAAACUACCAAAACAAUAAAAAAUUCUUCCCAAAAUCAAUGAAAACAAAGAUGAAAAAAAAAUGGAAACAAAUCCAAAACAAACCUAAAACAAAUUGAUAAGUAAUUCAACAACGACAAAAUUUUUAAAUAAGCACAAGUAAGAAACUAAUUUCAUGGUUAAAUCCCCAAUCUUAACGUUAUACUACCACGUCUCGCUUCUAAUGCACGUAACUUGAAGCAGCCUCGUUACGUUAAUCCUGUCCAUUUUUUGCCGAUUCUGAGACCUAUUCUAUAACAAGGGUACCACAAUGACUAAUCUGAAAUAUUUUAACCUCAAAUAUAACUUAAUGAGCUCAAUAGUAACGUGACAUGUUCAGCACCAAGAUGCGUUGUCAUAUUCCUUCUGUUACUAUUUGGUGAUUUUAUACAACUUCAGAAACUAAAGUGAGGAAUUAAAAAAUAGUGAAGUCUCUGUCAUUAACCUUGUCACAUCCAUACACGCUUUGUGAUAAUAAAAUGAUCCAAUCGUACACACCAAGUAAAAAUGCGUAUAGAAUUCUUCCAUUCUACAUACCUACAAUGACCACGAAAACACUUCACUUGGUACAGCCAUUACCCAAAUCUAUUCUGAACCCAUGUUACUAUAACCACACUAGUGAAUGAACGACCUUCUGUCCUUACCGACAACUAGAUCAAACACUCAUACGUAGCGAUAAUUCCUCAUACAUCCUACAUACAGACACACAGACAGACACCGUAGUAAUUCUCUCUCUCUCUCUCUCUGGCGGCGGAUCAGGGAGGCUCCACACAAUAACGAUGCAGUUGAUUGGAGAGCCAUCUUGAACGAAGCGCCAAGACGAGUAUACAUACCCCCGGGUACUGCUCAGCGAGGCGGUGGUCCACAUCCACUGGGUAGCGAGUGAGGAGGAACUGAGGGUACUUGUGUGGCCGCACGUGGGAGUCCUGAGGGACAAGAGGCAGGGACAGGAAUUCCCCGGAUGUGAUGCGUUCCAAUAUGUCCUUACGCUGCCUCGAAACGUACACGAACCGGGAGGUGAGCGCAGCCAUCUUGACCUGAGCCUCGUCUCGCCGCAGGUGGAACGCCUUGGUGACAGCAGACAGCCAGCGGAGCUUAACUUCGGGUGAUGGACUGCCACUGAAGGCGAGCUUGAUGUAGCUGUCUCGUGGAACAAAUGCUGGUAGGGCAGGCGAGGGCCCGGCAGGGGUGACAAGAAAAGCACCAGUAACAGGCAGGUGAGGGCGAGGAGGCGGCUCAUCAUGCACCAGCGAAGCACCCUUGGCAGUCUUGGCAGCGGGGGGCUGACAGCCCCCAGCAGGCGAAUCAGGGGCGUCUUCAGCAGGCCGCUUACCACCGGAGGACGAGGAAGGCUGGGGGGCACCAUGGCGAGGAGCGGGUGGAGGGUGGUGAGGCGGCGCAGCAGAAGGCAGGUCAGGCUAGUGGUUCACGACAGCAGAGUCAUCCUCGGGGUCAAACAACGCCAGGUCAAAGUCUGGGCACGACGCUACAGCAGGGCCGGAGCAGGCCAUCAGGGAGGAAGACCUAGGCAACUGCAGCAGAGCUACCAGCAGCCGUAGGAACACCGCCGCGGAGAACAAGCUCGUUUCAGCAAACCAAAACAGCAGCAAGACGUUGGAGAGCGCUGAGUGAGCGCAGGAAACCGCUCUGUGUGCUGAGGCGGAUAACGGCGCAGGUGGGGACAGGUGGCAGCCUAGGGUACGGGAGGGCUUGUCUUCGGGGGUCCGUGGUGCCUUGGUGUCCAGGGUGCGAAGCUUCUUCUCUGGGCUGGGAGCCUUGUGGUCUGCGGAGGGGGGACUUUUACCGCUUCAGUCAUGAUUCAGCCUUCGUAUGGGGUAAUGUCUCUGCCUUUCAUCCUAUGAAACAUUGAGGAUCAGAAAAGAAAACACUACAAUGGGAUCAUGCAAAAGAUAGGUAAAUAAAUAAAUAGAGAAUAAAAUUUUAUUCAUCACUGAUAUAAGAAUAAUUUUUACAGUUAGACCAUAUAUACAUCUAUGAGUACACUAGAAAAAAGAAAUUAUGCAAAAGUUAAUUAUAUUUUGUGGUUUUCAUCCUCAAUUUUUUGGAGUAUUUUUUUCUCAAAUGUUCCAAUCUUCUUAAGUAAUUGAAAAAUUUACUCUCAUCAUCAAUAUGAUGAGGAAAUAAAGUAUGAAACUCUCCUUCACUCUUUCUAUCUUUCAGCAUAGGAUGAAGCCACAAUCUCCUCCUUUUUUGCUUUCUUUCUUCAUCUUCGUUAAGUGGAAUGGCGAUCACUGCCAAAUCAGAUAGAGAAAAGUCACUUAUCAUCUGUCACUGGUGGUGUGACUUUCACUAGUGUUGGAGAGGAAGGGAUGGGACUGAUAGCAGAGCGGGAGCAGACCGGACAUGUGAAUGCACCAGGACCUUGACCAGAGCGAGAGCUGAGCAAGAGCAUAGCGAGAGCGAAGCGGAACCUUAGCGAUAGUGUGAAUCAAGCCUUAGCCUCAGGAGGUGAGGGGGCUUCGGCGCCGCGUCGGGAGCAAGCUUAGCUAGUGUACUAUAGUGGUGUUCACUACAUGUGUGUGUGUGUGUGUGUCUGUAGGGAUGAUAUUAGUAACUUGAGUGUCUCUAGUGUGUUUUGGGUGAGCUUUUUAUAUUUUGAGGUUUUGCAGGGUGUUUUGGGUUAAUUUUGAGUUAUUUCAGUUGUUUAUGUGUGUGUCAGUUGUGUAUGGUGUGUGUUUUGUGGUGUGGUGUUAGUAUUGGUGUAUACUGUGUGUUUCUAGUGAAUUGUAAGUGCGUUUGUUGGUACUUUGAGGUUUUUCACGUUGGCAGUAUCUAAGGGGAUUUGACAAAGCUAGGUUCAAUGAUUUCAAAUUCUUGACCAAUAUAACAGGUUCGGCAGUGUUCCAAAUUGAUAUGGACAGUAAACUGAACAAUGGUUUUAGUAUUUUGUAAGCACGAGUGAUAAUUUGGAAGUGAUUAUUGAGUCGGUAGGUUUGUGUGCGGGUGGGGUUAAUUCACAGUACAUAAGCCGGAGAACAUUAAGAUGAAAAUAAUGACAAAUAUUUAAUGUGAUUCGCAAUAUACAUAGAGGUGGAUGAAAUUGGGCAACCUUGCUUAUUGUAGGCACCAUUAAUGAAGACCUUUGACUGUCUGUGUGGGAGUGUAAAUUUUGUUGUUUGUCGGUUACUUCUAUUUCAAGAAAACACGGAAAGCUAAGAUGAACAGCAUUGUGGUAACUUACUGCUAGGGUUUCUCUCUCUUAAAACGCCAUCUAGUCCAUCUAAAUUUACCUAACGAUAGUCUAAACCAUGAAUAAAAGUGCUGUUAAAAUGCAAGGUCAGCAUUUCACUCACAGUUUACAAUAGUGGCAGAGCUGCAGACGACCCCCGCACAGAGGAGCAAUAACAGUCAGUCAGUCAGUCAGUUCUCCCACGGCGGUGGCAGUGGCAUCCCGAAGCAGCACAUGUGUGACGGCACCAAUGAUUACAGCAGUAACGAAGAGGUGGGGAGAAGGCCUUGCUUUUGUCACUACGGCACGCAAGACUUAACUCAUGCCCUGAACUCCAUUGUUUCAUAUAAAAGUUGCAGGCUUUCUUACAUUGUAUACAGUACAAUAAAAAAUCACAACUUGACAGUACUGAAGCAAAUGCCUUUCAUGUGGCAGGAUGAGUUUGUGCAGCUGUGUGGCAUUGACGAGUGCCGGGAGAAGAAUGCCGGGUGUGUGUGAGCCUCUGUGCAUCAACACUCGAGAGUCAUACUGCUGCCAGUGCCGGCCAUGCAGGGUACAGACUUGUCAGGAAGUUCAAGUGUGAAGACGUUGACGAGUGCGUUGAGUCACCCAGAUCCUCUCCCUGUGGACCAUCCCCUCAGCAGUGUUCGAUCCGCCCAGCAGCAGCAAGGGUCAGGAAAAGGCGGUCAUUGAAGUGUCAAGUCCCUAAGCUGGCAUGGUGGUGGGUGUUGUGCUGGGCUCCCUUGGGGUUCUUUGCCUAGCUGUUGGGAUGUUUGUCGGGUUCCUGAAGAUGCGUUGACGUAUUAUCAUCCACGCAAGCUUCCCCAACCCGGCCAGUGUACCACAAGACAACAGUCACUGAGGAGGACGGGAGCGAGCGGCUGCAUGCACUAUUAAACGGGACGGCAUUAGAUUCUUCAUACAGAUGUAUGACUACACUUAAGCAAGCCCAGAAUAAAGUGUUGAGUGACCAUGAUGAUUCAGUACUGCUAACGCCAAAGAAGUGAGGGAAGUGUUUGGAGUGAGCGUGCAAGACGUACAACAGACAUCAGACUGCUACUGCCGGUGUAGCCAAAGGAACACGAGGAGGCGGAGGAGGAGGAGGAAGAAGAGGAGGAACAAGAGGGUGAUUCUUGGAUAUGUACCAAUGAAGUGCUGAAGGUUGGCCACAAAUCUUCAUUACUGGUGUAGUGUAUUUCAUUGACCAUUUGUAGAUUGGGUGGAUAAAUUUGUAGAUUUUGUAGACAGUUGUAGAUGGGAAGUGGGUAAGGUCUUUUGCAAUGCCUUAUCUACACAAGCAGAAAACAAUGAUAUAUAGAAGUUGUGCAUAGCAUUGUGAAAGGAAUAUACAAUGUACAUAUGUAUAUAGUAAUUAAAAUAGGAGUGUGUAGUCCAAGAGAGGAAAUUAACCUCUAUUAGAGAUUUUGGUGAUUUUUUUUUUUUUUUUAUGUAGUGUUAGACAUAUCAAAAGGUUUUGAUAGAGUUUGGCAUAAAGCUCUGAUUUCAAAACUGCCCUCCUACGGUUUCUUUGCUUCUCUCUGCAACUUUAUCUCAAGUUUCCUUUCUGACUAUCCUAUUGCUGCUGUGGUAACGGCCACUGUUCUUCUCCUAAAUCU